GCAGUUAAUUCAGACCAAAGAUUUAUCUCAAACCUCAAGACCAAAUUCGAAAGUCAUAUCGAUCUGCGCCCAGUCCUCCCUUCUUCGAUCUUCCCUCAGCUUUCCCUUCGUCUCGCCCGUCGCCGGUGGUUCUCGCCAGUCGCCAUCGCCGCUGGGUCUCGCCCGUCGCCGGUGGAACUCCAGCAAGGGUCUAUUCGAUCCCUCCCCUCCUCACCGGUGGUCCCCUGCUCGAAAAACCACUUUCCCUGCUCGAAAAACCACCGUGAAGUCCAUCCUUGCUCGAAAAACGCCGGUGGUUCCAAGUAAUAAUGUUGCUCGCGAACCCUGUUCUCCGUCAAUCCUUGCCGCGGCAAAUGGAAUUCUUGUUCUUCCAACAAUAGUUGAUCCUCCAAUAAAACGCAACUCAAGAAAAUGUCAGUCUGCGGGGAGUUUUAUGAUCAAGCACUAGUCUUAUCCUGCAUAUCAAGCAUGUCUGGUUGCUGUCAGACUUAACCUAUCCAUAUGGACUUCGUUCUACAACACAAGAGGAUUCAGAUUCUUCCUCUGACAGAAUGUCGCAGUUUGGAACUGCAAGAGAGUACCAUAUGCAGACUGAGUUGUGGUAUGAUGACAAAGAUGAUGGAUCAUAUAUGACUCCUAGCUUUGGUGGGUUAGACCCUUUUACCUGCCCGGGUGAGGAUAAGUUUGUCACGACUUCUGGGAUGGUAAACUGCCUUUGAACACAUCAUCCAUGGAUACUGUUAUUGGUGUCUCCAAAGUACGCGACUUUCCUGGUGCUCCACUGCUUGCUGAAAUGUUUAGAAUUCUGAAGCCAAGAUGGAAGAAUUCUGAUUCAUUUGACUGAACUUUCUGGUGAUCUACCUUCCGAAAAUAUUCUUUCUUCUCUGCAGCGGCAGAUACUUGUAGCGGGAUUCUUGGAACCAGAAGCUGACCAGAAGCAACCUUUCUUUUUCAGGAGUUCAGUCUAUACAAGUCUAUACUCCGAGGAAUGCGCCUUAUGCUAGUGAGGAAAUUGAUGUGGUUCGUGAGCAAUGGGCUAAGUUUUUUACCAGCAAGUAUUUAUUAUUAGCCUGAUCGCGCUUGAUCGAGUUUGUUUAGAUGUUAUAGAACAAUUUUUUUUAUUAAAAUGUAUGCGUACGUUGAAAUUGAAACGUACAUAUAUUUAAAUAUAUUGGUACGUGCACUUUGGUUUUUGGAUAUAUACAAAACUACAAUUAUUGUUUUUA